UACGAAGGGGGCUAGCGUUGCUCGGAAUUACUGGGCGUAAAGCGUGCGCAGGCGGCUUUGCAAGACAGAUGUGAAAUCCCCGGGCUCAACCUGGGAACUGCAUCUGUGACUGCAAGGCUAGAGUACGGCAGAGGGGGAUGGAAUUCCGCGUGUAGCAGUGAAAUGCGUAGAUAUGCGGAGGAACACCAAUGGCGAAGGCAA
rnacentral:rRNA from 1 species